UACGAAGGGGGCUAGCGUUGUUCGGAAUCACUGGGCGUAAAGCGCACGUAGGCGGAUUGUUAAGUCGGGGGUGAAAUCCUGAGGCUCAACCAUGUGGUCUGCAGUCGAUACGGGCAGGCUAGAAUUCGGUAGGGGAGACUGGAAUUCCUGGUGUAGCGGUGAAAUGCGCAGAUAUCAGGAGGAACACCGGUGGCGAAGGCGGUUCUCUGGGCAUGUCCUGACGCUGAGGAGCGAAAGUGUGGGGAGCGAACAGG
rnacentral:rRNA from 1 species